UGUUGUUUUUCUCUUCAUCUUUAUCCUCCUCUUUUUUCUCUUUCUAACCCUGCUUGCUGCCUUCCUCUCAGACCAACUGUUUAGCAAUGAAGGAAUGGCUUUAAAUAGAAAAUGCAAGUUUUAUUCCACAGCUUUAUGAGGACACCUCAGCAUAGGAGAAAGUUCAUCUUGCUUCAAGUUGAUCACACUUAAUUGACAGGGUCUUGCUCCGUGACCCCAGCAGGAGUGCAGUGGUGUGAUCUCAGCUCACUGCAGCCUCCUUCUACCGGGUUCAAGUGAUUCUCAUGCCUCAGCCACCCAAGUAGCUGGGAUUCCAGGCACAUGCCACCAUGCCUGGCUAAUUGUGUGUGUGUGUGUUUAUUAGAGACGGGGUUUCACCAUGUUGGCCAGGCUGGUCCUAGCGUCAUGUGAUCUGCCUGCCUCGGCCUCCAGAAGUGCUGGGAUUACAGGCAUGAACCAGCACACCUGACCUUAUACUUAAUGUUUUGAAUAGUUUAUGUUUAAUCUUUAUCAGAUGCCAUUUUGAUAUUCAAAGGUCAAUUUUACUAGUUAUGUUAAUAAGCACAUAGUAAAUGUAUUUUAUUUGUGAAGAUUAACACUUAACCUGCAAGGUUCAGUUUCACUUUUUGUUAUUCAGCGACUGCCAGUUGUGAUGUUAAGUUCAUCAUUGGCUUCACUGUUCCAGGUAGAAGUUACAGUUUGCCAGAGAGCAGUAGUACUACUUUUCUAUUUUUUCUCUUUUUUAACUCUGAAAAAUAAAAUACAUUUUUAAAAGUAUACACAUGCACAUAUAGAUGUACCAUGUAAAGAAUACUUAUAAAAUGAUCAUCUCAAGAAAUUGGAAUAUUGUUGGCAUCCCAGAAUUCAUAUGUAUAUUUCUUUGCUAUCAUUUUUCUCUUCUGUUCCUCCAGAGAUUACUAUUCUGACUUUUCUUCUUCUUUGCUUUUCUUUAUGCCCUGCACAUAUAUCAAAAACUAUAAUUUAGUUUUGUAUAUUUUGUACUUCAAUAAAUGGAAUUAUUAUAUUU